rnacentral:rRNA from 1 species
GGAACGUACCCUUUGGUUCGGAACAACCCAGGGAAACUUGGGCUAAUACCGGAUAAGCCCUUACGGGGCACAGAUUCAUCGCCGAAGGAUCGGCCCGCGUCUGAUUAGCUAGUUGGUGGGGUAAUGGCCCACCAAGGCGACGAUCAGUAGCUGGUCUGAGAGGAUGAUCAGCCUCACUGGGACUGAGACACGGCCCAGACUCCUACGGGAGGCAGCAGUGGGGAAUAUUGGACAAUGGGCGCAAGCCUGAUCCAGCCAUGCCGCGUGGGUGAUGAAGGCCCUAGGGUUGUAAAGCCCUUUCGGCGGGGAAGAUACUGACGGUACCCGCAGAAGAAGCCCCGGCUAACUUCGUGCCAGCAGCCGCGGUAAUACGAACGGGGCUAGAGUUGCUCGGAAUCACUGGGCGUAAAGCGC